GCUGUGCAGGGCAGGGAAGCUCCAGGCAAACAGCCCAGCAAACAGCAGCACUCAGCUAAAAGGAAGACUCACAGAACACAGUUGAAGAAGGAAAGUGGCGAUGGACCUCAUCCCAAAUUUGGCGGUGGAAACCUGGCUUCUCCUGGCUGUCAGCCUGGUGCUCCUCUAUCUAUAUGGGACCCGUACACAUGGACUUUUUAAGAGACUGGGAAUUCCAGGGCCCACACCUCUGCCUUUGUUGGGAAAUGUUUUGUCCUAUCGUCAGGGUCUCUGGAAAUUUGACACAGAGUGCUAUAAAAAGUAUGGAAAAAUGUGGGGUAUCUCUUCCCUGUUUGGACCACAUUACCCUUCAUCAUAUGAAGCCUUGGGUGGCUCCUGUGUGAGACUCUUGCUGUGUGUCACACCCUAAUGAACUAGAACCUAAGGUUGCUGUGUGUCGUACAACUAGGGGUAUGGAUUACAUAACAUAAUGAUCAAAGUCUGGCUUCCUGGGUGUGGCUCCAGCUGCAGAAUCGGGCUAGUGAAGUUUAAUCAGCUCCGUUGUCCCCACACAGAACGUAUGAAGGUCAACUCCCUGUGCUGGCCAUCACAGAUCCCGACGUGAUCAGAACAGUGCUAGUGAAAGAAUGUUAUUCUGUCUUCACAAAUCGAAGGAUUUGUGCAACGACCAGCACCAUCAAGAUGCAGACCCAUUCCGUCACCAUGUGGCUCCCUCCUGCUGUCCUACAGUCACAACAUGGAGUUUGUCUUUUUCUCUGACAGGUUCUAUAUCAGAGCAAACUUUUAUUUAUUUGAGGAGGCCAAUGUAUUAAUAUUUCCUUUUAUGGAUUGUUCUUUUGGUGUUAAGUCUGAAAAUCCUUUGCUUAGCCCUCCUUCCUACAUUGCUUUUUCUAAGAGUUAUAUAGUUUAACACUUUACAAAAUGUAACUCUAUUACCCAUUUUGUGUUAAUAUUUGCAUAAGUUAUGAGAUUUAGAUCAAGGUUCAUUUUCUGUGGACUAUGGCUGUCCAAAUGUUCCAACACCAUUUUGGAAAGGUAGGCAUAUUGUCAAAACUCAGCUGAGUAUAUUUUGUGAAUCUAUUUCUUAUUGUUUACUCCUCCACUAAUACCACACUGUGGUGACUCUAGUAGCUGUACAGUAACUCUUAACAUCAUAUAGGGCAAUUCUUUCCACUUUAUUGAUUUAUAUUUUCAGAAUGGCUUUAGCUUUUCUUGUCCCUUGCCUUUCCAUAAAAAUUCAGAAUAAGCUUGUAAGUGUCUACAAACAAACCUGCCAUAAUUUUGAUAAGAAUUAAAGCAGAGGUGUCCAAUCUUUUGGCUUCCCUGGGCCACAGUGGAAGAAGAAGUGUCGUGGGCCACACAUAAAAUACACACACACACACACACACACACACACACACACACACACACACACAAAUGGUCUGUGUAUAGUUUUCAUUAUAUAUCUACCACCACAGAUAAGCAAAAAUGUCCUUGCAUAAUAAUCCUAAUUAUGCACUGCCCCAUUCAGAGGGUCUUUCAAAAUCAUUGAACAGGUUCCAAGUUUGCAAUCACUGAUACAGAAAAUGUACAUAUCUAGCUAAACUUCACUACUUUUUUGAUAUUUUUUAUUAUAAAAGAAAA
rnacentral:lncRNA from 1 species